UACAGAGGUCUCAAGCGUUGUUCGGAUUCAUUGGGCUUAAAGGGUGCGUAGGCGGCGCGGUAAGUCGGGUGUGAAAUCUCGGAGCUUAACUCCGAAACUGCAUUCGAUACUGCCGUGCUUGAGGACUGGAGAGGAGACUGGAAUUUACGGUGUAGCGGUGAAAUGCGUAGAUAUCGUAAGGAAGACCAGUGGCGAAGGCGGGUCUCUGGACAGUUCCUGACACUGAGGCACGAAGGCCAGGGGAGCAAACGGG
rnacentral:rRNA from 1 species